GUACGUGUGUGUUUCAUGUUAUUUUUUUUCUUUACAAUUAAAACUGUUUCCAUUUUUUCAUACUUUAUAAGGCAUCUCAUAAAUUUACACACCAGGGAACAUCCCUGGUUGGACCUAUUUAUAAUAAACAUCAUUUAUUUAUAAGGGAGCCAAGGUUUAGGGCCUACCACUCAGCCAGACCUUCCUUUUUGGUUUCCCUAGUCUUUGACUGUUGCACGUGCAUUACCAAUAUAACUGUACCUUGGAUGUCUUUUAUUUGCACAUUUGACGACUGCUUGUUAAGCUUCCACUAUCUGCCAGGCGUUGGGCGGGGCUUUGCGGAGUCAAGGCGAGCAGAACAGACCUGGCCCUGCCCGCAAGGAGGUCGCAGACGUGAACCAGCAAUCACAGACACCUCAAGAUGCAGAGAAUAAGGCGUGACCUGUCUGAGGUCACACUCUAGAAAGGAGCAGCAUCAGGACUCAGAUGCAGGUAUUUGUCCAUAAGCACUCAUCUUAGUCACCAGGAAUGUUGGGGAACACAGUUUUACGUGCUGUGAGGAGACCUGAAGAAAUAUGUCACCCUCCCUGCCCUCAGGGAGCUUACAGUCCAUCCAGGAAGAGGAGAAGAGCACAUGUCAAAAAGCUUCAAGGUUCCAGGUCGUAUGUGUUGAAUGAAUGGAGACAUGAAGCAUAAACGUUUCAAGGAAGCCCAGGGCCAUCCUGGACAGUCGCCACCAGGCCUGCCAUCACUAUGGGGUGGCCCAAGGCCAUGUCUGCCAGGAACACCACCAUUUGGUAUUUAUCUAUGCAAAAUUUACAUUGACCGCUGAUGAGCAAAACAGUGCGCUCCACAUAUAGAUUGAGGGUGUGGGGCUUUUGCCACUGGAGUUCCCCCUGUGUUGAGUCACGGUGGCAGAAGGCACAGUGACAGAAGUCCCUGGGAGCCGCUGACUGGCGCUUGGAGGACUGAGUGAUUCAGCAGCGAGGCCCCCCUCUGGCCCUCCUGCCCCAGAAAGCUCUGGAUCUGCACGGAAGCAGCACGGUAAAGGGUGGACGAAUUGUGGGUGUGGAUGCUUUCCCACAAGUCUGUGCUCCCCAGUUCAGUUGUCUGGGCUCUUAUUAAAAGGGUUCGUUCUCCUCCUUAGAGUCAGACGGAGGCCCCCUGUGGGCUGCUGCUUGGGAACGGCCGGGGGUGUUCUCUGGCUGGGGCUUCAGAGGAUGCAAGGACAACCCCACAGAGCAGGAACAGCCUGCCAGUUCCAUGCCCGCAGCGGCCCCCAGAGCAGCUGCCCCAGGACACACGGAUGAGAGGGGAGGGUGUCAGAGGGGCUUCGGUAGACUUGUUGCCAU
rnacentral:lncRNA from 1 species